UGGUUGUUCACAUGGUAGAGUGACCAGACUUUCUCUUUUUCCCGGACAUGUCCUACUUUUGAGACCUAAAAAAAUGUCCGGGGGGAAUUUCAAAAUCGUCCGGGAUUUUGUUCAGCUGCCUCAAACAUAAUACA